UGUCCAUUGUACUUCUUUGGAUACUACUUUGCAAAAAAGAAUGUGUACUAGGAUCACUUUGGUUUCCAUGACUAAGAUCUGGUUUUCCUAUGAUUAGACCUGUCACCCUGCAAAGAAUUAUAAGAAAAUAUAUUAACAGAUAUCUGAAGCUCAAGAAAAACCAACAUAACAGUAAGGCAGGAUGUGGGCAAUCUCGCACUGAUUUUUUAAAGACUGUAAGAGGUACUAACUACUUUUUAUUCAAAAAGUUAUUCAUAAUCUCCUUUGAAAAUCACUCCUUCAGUUUAAAUUAAAUAAACCUCAAAAAUAUUUACUUGAAUUGUUAAUUUUUUAUUUAAUAUAAAUAUUUUCAAGGACUGUUUUGGCUCAGUAACACAAAGAAAAGUCUUAUCAAAGCAAUCAAAGCAGACAAAGAUAGGCUUCUUUCCGACAAGUCUGAGGACUUGCUUUUUCUGAAGGAUCAAAUGGGAGAAAGAAAAAUGACGCUUGGGUCUAAUGACAAGUGUAGAGCCGAGAUAGAAAAGAAGAGAAAUAGAAGAAUUCAGAGUAAAGUUAUAGCAUUAACAAGUUUUUGCGAAAAAUCAUUUGUUCAGUCUAGAAGUUUUUAAAAUGUGCUCUACUGAUGGUGUACAUCUACCUAAAACAAUUUCUUUAGAACCAAGUUCAGAGUCUGAAUCAGAAAAAAAUUACAUGGACUGUUCAAUAAGGAGUUUUAAAAAUCAAGAACAAACCAUUGUCAUCAACCAAGUAGUUAUUAAAGAAACUAUGAGAACAGCUGUAGGCAUGGAUAUAAAAGCUCAUAAAAUUACAGCAACCCUGAUAAAGCUUGUCACGGCAGCUGGAGGUGAUCCAAAUAAGUUGCCCCUUUCUUAUAUUUCAGCUUUUCAAAUGAAAAACAAAAUUAUUAAAAAAGAUGCUAAAAAUACUAGGAUUUUAAUAAAAAAAAAGAUCGAACAAGGUAAGGUAAAAAUUCAGCUACACUUUGACGGAAAGUUAAUCAAGGUUUGCAUAUAUUUAGUUUUAACUAGUAUUUUAAUUGAAAACAACUGUUUUUCUUACGUCGUUAACCUAAUCCUAAUUGUAGGACUUAAUAUCAAAUUACGGUAAUGUAGCAGUUGAUAGGAUUUGUGUUCUUGUGAGAGCUGGAGGUACUGAUCUUCUACUUGGCGCUCCAGGAGUUCAUUCUGGUACAAGGCUAAAUCAGUUCAAGGCUAUCAAAAAAAUUUUGAAAGAGUUUGAAAUUGCUGAUCACGUAAAGAUGGUCUGCUUUGAAACUACUGCUAGCAAUUCAGGAAUGAUUAGUGGUGCUAUAUACAGAUGAACUGUUUCUCAAUAUAAUUUAAAAGAAGGACUCUAAAAGCUAAUUAUAAUAAACAAUUUAGUCAUAAUCAUUAUUGGUUAGCAGAUAUCAUAGACAAAACCACAGGAUCUGACAACGCACUCUUUAAAGGCUUGAAAAGUAAGUGGAAUGAUAUUGAUGUGAAAAACUGUCAUCACUUACUUCAAAUGGCAAUCUAUUUAUGAUUCUUGGUUUAACAAACAAGCAGAAAAAGCAAGAAAAUGUAUAAUGACGAUUGUGAAUGAAGAAGUCUUCAAAAACUCUCAGAGACACGAGAAAAGAGCAGACUACCAGGAACUUGUUGAGCUAGCUCAUGUUCUUGGAACCAACAUUCAAGCCUCUCAACAUACACAAGCCUGGAGCAGUACAUCAUGCUCGUUUUAUGGCAAAGAGUCUCUACAAUCUAAAGAUAAUGCUUCUUCUUAAUUCGACCAAGCAAAUCCUAAAAUUGAGCCAGGAGAAGAUUAAUGAGGUGGAAAAGAUGGCAAUUUUUAUUUCAAUGUUCUAUGCUCCUCAAUUUCUGAGAGCUAAAAAAUCAGAUACAGCUGCAAUCCAAGACCAGCACUUUAUCUGGCAGAUGGCCCACUUGGAGAAGUUUGAUGUAGCUGCAGUUUCAAUCUUUGGAAGGUGGGGAAAACACAGCUGGUACUUAGAUCCCACUACUGUUAUUUUUGCCCUAGUCAAUUCAGAUCAGUCUGUGUCUGAUAAUACAAAGGAAGAAAUGGCUAGAAAGCUUGUACAGUAUCCUCAAACAAACCAGUAUGAUUUUGAAAGAAAGAACAAUUUCGGUUUUAUUGCACAAAAGACCGAGUUUCUCAAAAAAUCACCGAGCCACCUUCACUCGUUAAUUAUGUAGAAGCUGAGUCAUGGUUAGUGGCUUUUUUAUCCUUCGUCUCCAUGGAAUAUAGAUCCAGAUUUCAUUGCUUUUCAACUAUUUUUUAAAAGCUUGGUGGUUAUUAAUUAUACAGCAGAAAAAGCCGUAAAAGCAAUCCGGUAGGUUGUUUCACAGACAUAUGACAAGAAGAAACUGCAGAAAAUGUUAUUAGUUAAGAAUAAAAUAAAAAAACCAAUUUCACGCACUAAAGCAGCAUAUAAAGAGGCAGCCGAACAGCUAACACCUGCUGAGAAGCUAAGCCUUGCGUAUGAAUAUGAAUGUCUUGAGGAGACGGAGGACAAGUUAUCACUAUCUAGUACUUAUGAUUUUGACAUUAGCUUGGAUAUUGUUGAUGAAGAUGAUGUGGUUGAGACUAUAGAGGCUGAAAACAAGGCCUUCAAUA